UACGUAGGGCGCAAGCGUUGUCCGGAAUUAUUGGGCGUAAAGAGCUCGUAGGCGGCUUGUCACGUCGGGUGUGAAAGCCCGGGGCUUAACCCCGGGUCUGCAUUCGAUACGGGCUGGCUAGAGUGUGGUAGGGGAGAUCGGAAUUCCUGGUGUAGCGGUGAAAUGCGCAGAUAUCAGGAGGAACACCGGUGGCGAAGGCGGAUCUCUGGGCCAUUACUGACGCUGAGGAGCGAAGGCCAGGGGAGCAAACGGG
rnacentral:rRNA from 1 species